UAACAUAAGCCUUGGCUACUUCUGUGAUGAGACAAUUAGAGGAGUGUAAUUGUCCUGUAAAUUUCCCAUUUUGUCUGCCUCCUACUGUCAGCAUUUAUUUAACAAAUUCUGUGGAAGGUAAAGCCCCCCCCCCCCGUCUGUUCCCCCUGAGGUGGCGUCCCGCGGACUGGGAGGUGCAGAUGGUGUAACUGCGGGGCCGUGUGACAUUUGAGUGGCUCCUUCUCCUGCUGGGCUGGGACAGGCUUGGACACGAGGACAUUUCCCCCGGACCUCCCCGCCGGCCACAUCCGGGGAAAAAGAAAAUGAGAAACAUGACGUGGAGAAGGACAGAGGGAGAGGAGGCUUGUCUCUCGGCCAGGGAAUCUCAUUAUGCGAUGCAAGCAGGAAUUUCGCCAAUCUGGGAGUUUGCGCCUUGGAAAGUAAACCGGCUUUAUCUGUUUGUCAACCCAAUGUGAUUGGGUUUUAGUAUCUGCACAAAGAUUCCAGUUCCAGGGAAACAGAAGUGAAAGAAGGAGGUAUGGUACAGUGCAACUGGUUGGUCUGCAUUCCUGUCGAACCAGCUACGAUAUGUAGCGCAGAGUGGUUAUCGGACACUGUCAGGGUCUGUCACUCUGAUUCCUGUGCCCUCUCUACAUUCUGAAUCCUGAUUGGGCUUCCUCCUGCACUACAAAAAGCCAUGUAGUUCAGGUGGCUUCCUCCACUGUGUGCAUGCCCUGCUCCCUGCGAGUGUGGGGUAGGGACCGGUCAGGCUUUCACCCUGUGUUGGACCGGUUCUGUGUGUCAAUUCUUCACUUUUCUUUAGAUUCUCGCACUUCAAAACUGAAAGGCCUGUAAAAGAGUUCAUCUUAAAGUAUGAUGUAUCCCAUUUCCAAAACAUUAACCUCUUCUGAAUGCUAGCGGGAUGUUAUAAAGACAGGCGACAUUGUGCUCUCCCUCUGCAGAUUAGCAUGCCGAGAGUCCGUUAUGCUUUUUGCAGCUUCCACACGGGACCGCCGCUGAUCCACGGCGCCUGACGUCAAUCGCGGAGACAAGCUGUCGUUUUUAUUGUUGCUCUGUGCGUCAUCGCAUUCUUUGCCGUCACGUCCGUGGUGCGCUUGCUGCAGCUGAGCUCCAGCACCCCCCGCCCCCCUGCAUGCUGCAGACCCGAUUUACGCAUCAGACCUGCCGGCAGUGCCUGCUGCUGUGGACAGGUUCAUGUCAAAUGCUUUCUGCUGCAAGGUGCAGACUUUAUGGAAAAAAAGGCAGUACUAUCAGGUUUCGAGCUCAGCUGCCCUGGUAUACUGGUCUCCUGACCUAUUGCCAGAUCGCGCUGCUAAGGUGCCCUUGCCAUUCUCAGAGUGCUGCUAUCCCCAUGAGCCUUGGCUGCCCCUCAUCUUUCCUGCUGGCCCUGGGAUUGGUGAGUCAUCCUUGCAGGCAUGGCGCGCCCCAUCGGCGCAGCGAUUGCCCUUAAUGGACAUGCCUGAUAGCAGAGGGCCUCAAGAGUGCAGUUGACCCUGGUUUGCCAUUAGCUUGCCAGCUGCUGUUAUGGCACGAGAUAAUAGGAAAGCAUCUAUUUGUGGUUCUGUUUAUUGAAAUAGGAAGUGCCUAUCACAUAAGGAGCAUCUCUGUUGUAAGAAGGUGGAUUUUUAUUUAAUUAGACAUGAGUCGCCUGUUUCCAGUCCCUGCCGUUUUUGUUUUCCGCAUUUAUCCAGUUAGGAGAUGCUUCUGUUCACAUUGGCUUGUGGGUUAGUCUUUCUUGCUCAGUGUCAGAUCACUUUAGGUAUAGGUGGUUCUCCUGUGCCUCUGUCAAUUUCUGCACAUGAGUUUGGUUAAGCUAUUGUGCAACUUAAUCUGCCCUGCAGAGGUCCGGCAUUCGCUGUUCCUUUCUUGGCCACCUUAGAGAUUUAAUGAGACAGCAGGCGAAUAAGGACAUGACAGAGGUCCCAUAGUCCCUCUGGAUGCUAUCCUCUACUGAGGGCAUAGGCUCUCCUACAGUGAGCCGGCGCAUGAUGCGGGCGGCCAUCAUGGUUCAAACACUUUAGUCUGUCUGGCAAAACCGCAUGAUUAAUGGAAGAACAUUUCGCAAUCUUUUUUAUCAGAAGGGUGUUUGUAUAAUGGUGUGUUUGCGUGGGUUUGGGCUCUGUUCUGCUGGUGGCCAAGGAGCCACAUGACUUGCCUGUUUGUCUGGGAGGCUUGUCUUCACGGAUCCUCUGGUAUUUAAAACCGAGGUCCAUUAACCCUCAACAGUAAAUUCCUUCCAUCCAUCCAUCCCUGGUUUGUGAGACCUCCCUUUAAUGCAGUUUACAGUGUAUCUAUGGGUUCAUGUGAACACAGGUGGUUUCAUGUAGGCAUAAUGGCCACAUCCUCUAGUGUGGGAAUCACUGACCUGAGCCGGAUAAGUUCUCCAUGGAAGCGCGUGGGUUAGACUCGGAAUGGACUGCGGCGGCGGAGUCGGCCCGUCCCAGAUCACUCCCGCCAGUAUCGAUCCAGCCCCCCAUCCCUUU